rnacentral:rRNA from 1 species
UGGGGAAUUUUGGACAAUGGGCGAAAGCCUGAUCCAGCAAUGCCGCGUGUGUGAAGAAGGCCUUCGGGUUGUAAAGCACUUUUGUCCGGAAAGAAAUCCUUGGCUCUAAUACAGUCGGGGGAUGACGGUACCGGAAGAAUAAGCACCGGCUAACUACGUGCCAGCAGCCGCGGUAAUACGUAGGGUGCAAGCGUUAAUCGGAAUUACUGGGCGUAAAGCGUGCGCAGGCGGUUUGCUAAGACCGAUGUGAAAUCCCCGGGCUCAACCUGGGAACUGCAUUGGUGACUGGCAGGCUAGAGUAUGGCAGAGGGGGGUAGAAUUCCACGUGUAGCAGUGAAAUGCGUAGAGAUGUGGAGGGAUACCGAUGGCGAAGGCAGCCCCCUGGGCCAAUACUGACGCUCAUGCACGAAAGCGUGGGGAGCAAACAGGAUUAGAUACCCUGGUAGUCCACGCCCUAAACGAUGUCAACUAGUUGUUGGGGAUUCAUUUCCUUAGUAACGUAGCUAACGCGUGAAGUUGACCGCCUGGGGAGUACGGUCGCAAGAUUAAAACUCAAAGGAAUUGACGGGGUCAUAGCUGUUUCCU